rnacentral:lncRNA from 1 species
CCAGAAUUCAGCAGUCUGCAACCCAAAAGAGGGCCUUCACCACCACCUGACCAUGAUGGCACCUUGAUCUUGCACCUCCAGCCUCCAGAACUGUAAUGCUAAACGUCACUGACAAGUUGACAAUUGGGAAACCAGGUCACAGCCUUGAGAAUCACCCCCCAAACCGAUCCAAUGAGAGGGGUGCAACAUUGCGGCAAGACCAGAGAACGUACUUCAGAAGUGAGGCAUAAAAAGACCUAUUUUUAUGCGUGCAUUAACAAAAGCAUCCAGUGAAAUAGAAAGGUAACUGCCCUAUGAUUUGUACAUAUGGAUAAUAUGUACACUCAAUUUAACCAAUUUUUAGAUUUUAUAUUAAGGAAAAUACACAAAUCAUAAUGAAUUUUCACAAACUGUAUACUUCUCUGUCCUCAAAACUCAUCAAGAUACAGAGAAUUGCUAAGAUCCCCCGAUUUCCCAUUUAUUUUCUCCAUCUCAAAGAUAACCACUAAGUUUCAUGCAUCAAAAAUUAGUUUUGCUAAUUUUGAACUUUACACAAAUGGAAACCUAAACUCUGUGCUCCAUUGAGAAAAGUAAUAAGAUUUUAAAACACUCUAAAUUUUCUUGUUUUAUGAUAUUAAGGUAAAAAGUGUCUUACCCAUUCACUUCUUAAAAGUUAUCCUGAAAUGACCAGAUUAAGAAACAUCAUUGCAAAUUUUAUCCUUGAAAUAAUUGGCAGAUAUGUAUAGCAAAAAGAGGAAACAUUCUAAAUUGCCAUCAACAGCAGAAUGAAAAAAUAAAUGGUGAUUGUUUUUUUAUACAAAGAGUUGGAAUACAGCUAUGAAAAUGAGCAAAUCAUUGUUACAUGCUUCAACAUGAAAGAAUCAUGCAAACGUAAUGUUGAGUGAAAAAAGCUAAACACAAAAAUUGAG